GUUUGAUCCUGGCUCAGGAUGAACGCUGGCGGCGUGCUUAACACAUGCAAGUCGAACGAUCCUUCGGGAUAGUGGCGGACGGGUGAGUAACGCGUGGGAAUCUGCCCUCAGGAGGGGGAUAACGGCUGGAAACGGCCGCUAAUACCCCAUAUGCCGAGAGGUGAAACGAAUUUCGCCUGAGGAUGAGCCCGCGUCUGAUUAGCUAGUUGGUGGGGUAGAGGCCUACCAAGGCGACGAUCAGUAGCUGGUCUGAGAGGAUGAUCAGCCACACUGGGACUGAGACACGGCCCAGACUCCUACGGGAGGCAGCAGUGGGGAAUUUUCCGCAAUGGGCGAAAGCCUGACGGAGCAACGCCGCGUGAGGGAUGAAGGCCUCUGGGCUGUAAACCUCUUUUCUCAAGGAAGAAGAACUGACGGUACUUGAGGAAUAAGCCACGGCUAAUUCCGUGCCAGCAGCCGCGGUAAUACGGGAGUGGCAAGCGUUAUCCGGAAUUAUUGGGCGUAAAGCGUCCGCAGGCGGCCUUGUAAGUCUGUUGUUAAAGCGUGGAGCUCAACUCCAUUUAAGCAAUGGAAACUACAAGGCUGGAGUGUGGUAGGGGCAGAGGGAAUUCCCGGUCUAGCGGUGAAUUGCGUAGAUAUCGGGAAGAACACCAGUGGCGAAGGCGCUCUGCUGGGCCAUAACUGACGCUCAUGGACGAAAGCCAGGGGAGCGAAAGGGAUUAGAUACCCCUGUAGUCCUGGCCGUAAACGAUGAACACUAGGUGUCGGGGGAAUCGACCCCCUCGGUGUCGUAGCCAACGCGUUAAGUGUUCCGCCUGGGGAGUACGCACGCAAGUGUGAAACUCAAAGGAAUUGACGGGGGCCCGCACAAGCGGUGGAGUAUGUGGUUUAAUUCGAUGCAACGCGAAGAACCUUACCAGGGUUUGACAUCCUGCGAAUCCCUUGGAAACGAGGGAGUGCCUUCGGGAGCGCAGUGACAGGUGGUGCAUAGCUGUCGUCAGCUCGUGUCGUGAGAUGUUGGGUUAAGUCCCGCAACGAGCGCAACCCACGUCUUUAGUUGCCAGCAUUCAGUUGGGCACUCUAGAGAGACCGCCGGUGAUAAACCGGAGGAAGGUGUGGAUGACGUCAAGUCAUCAUGCCCCUUACAUCCUGGGCUACACACGUACUACAAUGCUACGGACAAAGGGCAGCAAGCUCGCGAGAGUUAGCAAAUCCCAUAAACCGUGGCUCAGUUCAGAUCGUAGGCUGCAACUCGCCUACGUGAAGGAGGAAUCGCUAGUAAUCGCAGGUCAGCAUACUGCGGUGAAUACGUUCCCGGGCCUUGUACACACCGCCCGUCACACCAUGGAAGUUGGCCAUGCCCGAAGUCGUUACUCCAACCCU
rnacentral:rRNA from 1 species